AGAUACAGAUAUGCGAAUUUCGGUGAUCGAUCAACAUUUAUUUUACGUGGCAUAUAAUAUAAUAUUAUUAUCAUGAUGAAUACAAAUAAUGAUAAAAAGCUAAUACUGUGGAUGGAAGUGGCCACUAUUGUAGGUGAGAAGUUGGAAAGUUAGGAUACAUAAGGUUAUUUCAUUUAUAUCUGUGGGCAACGAUAAACCAUUGUUUGACGAAAGACGAUUCCGACCGCAGUUCGA